rnacentral:lncRNA from 1 species
GUUUCUCUUUUUCCUCAUUUCUCUCCCUGAUUCCUCCCUUCCCCGCCUGAUUGGUCCCAGACUCCCCCUUAUCUCUCCUUUCCUUUCCAUCAGUGCCACACACGUGGCACUCCCCUUUUGUUUCAAGAUUUUCUAGAUUCUUCCCACUUAAUGACAAUAUAAUUAUUUUACCCUCAACUUCUAUCGUUCAUAACUUUCUCAUUAUAACUCCGUUUCACGAACGGUUUGCGCCUACACGUUCAUGAGAUCGAGCUUUAUUCAAAAAAUAUAAAUUGUGACCUCCAAAGGUCUAUGAAUUGUAAAUAAUUAAUUUCCAAACUUUAAACCUCGUAAUUAGUUUCAUUUACAAACUGAUCUCAAAUAAACUAAUAUAAUUUCUUGAAAAAUAACAUAAAAUCUCAAUAAUACAAUUACGUGAAUUAUAAUAGUUUCUCAAUUCUAUCUUCAUAACUGUAAAUCGAUUUAUUUUCGAUUUUCUCCACAUAUUCAUAAUUAUGAAUAUAUUUCAUACAUUUAAGUUUUCAGGGUAUUACAGUGUAGAUGAUGAAUGGUAGUAUGUAGUUGGUGAUUGACCAAGAACACCUAGAUUUGGUGUAGGUAGCAUAUGAGUUUGUGUCUAAAAUGUUGUCUUGGAUUAAAUGAUCUCUGACCUUGAUUGAACUUUCCUUUGCCCUUGUUUCUAUUGAAAGACUUAUAACCUCCAUUAAUAUAAAAGGAUUGUCCAUGAGAACCAUUAGACUGCUGAAAUAUUGGUGCUUGAGACAUAUUAGGUCCAAAGUUAGUAGCCAUAGUAGUGAGAUAAGAUGGUGUAGCAGUGAUAUUAUCCACAAUACUUUCUUCAACCAGUAAUUGAGAUCGAAAUUCUUUAAAGGGGCGUUUGUUUGCCCUCAAUAAGUGUCACUGGACUAGACUGGACUAACUAUUAGUCCAAUCAUGUGUUUGAUAUCAUGUGGGACUAGUGUUAAUGAGACUAGCUCAGACUCGCCUAGACUAAAGGCAUCACUAAAGGUUCUUAGCAAGAGUCCCCGAAAACCAUAGGACUAGCUAAGAACUGCCUUUCUCCGCUCUCUGUUUCACUUUCUCCUACUCUCUCCCUCUCUCCUUGCCCAAAACCCAGAAUUAUGAUAGCUCAUAUAUGUUUUUCCCAUGCACUUCUCGAGUUUAUUGCCGAGCUCGUUGUCGAAAGGUAGUACUUCUCCUCUGCUCAGAUCCUCGACUUCCUCAACUCCCAAUAUCGCUCUUGACCAUCACUUUCAUCCACCGGGACAUCGUAAGCAAACUCCACAAUGCCAGCGAAAACCCAAAAGACAAAAAAUACUAAAAUGCCAAAACCCAAAUGAAAUUCAGAAGCUUGUGAAAAAUCCAGAAAAAAAACCCCUAUAUGACAAAUCAUAAGUUUUUUUUUAGAAUGAAUGAAAAAGAAUGGAAUUUGGUGAUGAGGGAGAAAGUAAAAAGAGAGAGACAGAGAGGCAGUUGGAAGGGAAAGAGAAAAAAAUGGAGAGCAUUCUAGAGAGAGAGAGGGUGUUCUAGAAAGGUAAAAGAAAAAAUAUGUAAAAGAUAUAAUUAAAUAUUAUUAUUUUUAUUAUUUUAGUUCUUAAUCCAAUACUACAUCAAACGCUUCACUAAGUUAGUCUAAGCCAGUCCAGCUUAGUCCCUAAAGUUAGUCCAGUCUGAGUUAGUUCGAUGCAACAAACGCACCCUAUGGGUAGUAACACUCUCUCUACCCUUAACCACACAUCUAAAUGUAUUAUAUUCAGGAGUGAGUUCAUUCAAAGCUAGAAUUACAAUAUCUUCAUCAACAAAGUACACACCUGCAGCUGCCAAGUAAUCCCUAGGGGCAAAGUGGAUCAAAAUUGAGCUUUAGGAGAAAAAUGAAGCGAACUUUAAGUUUUAUGGAGUAAAGUUGUGACUUUUGAGUUAUAUGGAGCAAAGUGAGAUUAAUAUCAAGUUUCAAUGAGCGUUGCUAAAAAUAAUUUUUUUAGUAAAGUACUUUGAUUCAUGUCAAUACUUUCAUCUAUUGACUUAAAAAUCAAUACAGGGUUUGCGAGCUUAAAUGUAUUUUUGCUUUAAUCAAUUUAGAGCAUUUAUCAUUGCACUUGAGAUUUCAAGUUCGAUUUCCCUUUGCCGUUUAUAUUGCUUGUAUAAAAAAUGUUUAAGCCUCCAUGAGUGCUUAUAUUCAUCAUAGUAGUGGAGCUAUGUUCUUUAUUGCAUAGAUAUUGUCGUUAAUUGAGGUAUAAAUAAUAUGUCAGUGCAUCUUAAUGUGGUUUAUAAUGUGUUCUACACUUCAUCAAUACGAUAUAGAUAAUAUUCUACUUUUAUAAUGUAAUACGAUGCCCACAGCGUAAAGGUUAACUUUAUAGUAAUAC